rnacentral:rRNA from 1 species
CUACGGGAGGCAGCAGUGGGGAAUCUUGCGCAAUGCGCGAAAGCGUGACGCAGCAACGCCACGUGGGGGAAGACGGCCUUCGGGUUGUAAACCCCUUUCAGUUGGGACGAAGCUUCGCCGGUGAACAGCCGGCUGGAGUGACGGUACCUUCAGAAGAAGCCCCGGCUAACUACGUGCCAGCAGCCGCGGUAAUACGUAGGGGGCAAGCGUUGUCCGGAAUCAUUGGGCGUAAAGAGCGUGUAGGCGGCCCGGUAAGUCCGCCGUGAAAGUCCAGGGCUCAACCCUGGGAUGCCGGUGGAUACUGUCGGGCUCGAGUCCGGAAGAGGCGAGUGGAAUUCCUGGUGUAGCGGUGAAAUGCGCAGAUAUCAGGAGGAACACCAAUGGCGAAGGCAGCUCGCUGGGACGGCACUGACGCUGAGACGCGAAAGCGUGGGGAGCAAACAGGAUUAGAUACCCCGGUAGUCC